UGCCUCUCAACAAGCGCUCUUUUUACGUCAUUAGCUUGACCCAAUAAAGCUCAUAUUCCAUCUUCAAUGUUGGUGUCUCUCUUGCUUUCAUCACACCAACUCAUCAAAUGCUUUCGAUCCACCUUUUUGACUCGCCUAGAAUAUGGAGCCUCAAUCUCUAUUACUCCAUUCUCUUUGAAGCCUUUCACAACCCACAACUUGUUGUUGAAUCUCACAGGGGUGCCAAGUUUGAGUUGUUCAUCUUUAUAGUCAUGAUGAACCGUCCUUCCUUCAUCAACUUUAUCUUCUUCCUUAACUUGCA
rnacentral:lncRNA from 1 species